rnacentral:rRNA from 1 species
UACGGAGGGUGCAAGCGUUAUCCGGAUUCACUGGGUUUAAAGGGUGCGUAGGCGGGUUGGCAAGUCCGUGGUGAAAUCCCCAAGCUUAACUUGGGAACUGCCGUGGAUACUAUCAAUCUUGAAUAUCGUGGAGGUAAGCGGAAUAUGUCAUGUAGCGGUGAAAUGCUUAGAUAUGACAUAGAACACCAAUUGCGUAGGCAGCUUACUACACGAUCAUUGACGCUGAGGCACGAAAGCGUGGGGAGCAAACAGG